GGGUGAGUAACACGUGGGCAAUCUGCCCUUCACUCUGGGACAAGCCCUGGAAACGGGGUCUAAUACCGGAUAAUACUCUGUUCCGCAUGGGACGGGGUUGAAAGCUCCGGCGGUGAAGGAUGAGCCCGCGGCCUAUCAGCUUGUUGGUGGGGUGAUGGCCUACCAAGGCGACGACGGGUAGCCGGCCUGAGAGGGCGACCGGCCACACUGGGACUGAGACACGGCCCAGACUCCUACGGGAGGCAGCAGUGGGGAAUAUUGCACAAUGGGCGAAAGCCUGAUGCAGCGACGCCGCGUGAGGGAUGACGGCCUUCGGGUUGUAAACCUCUUUCAGCAGGGAAGAAGCGAAAGUGACGGUACCUGCAGAAGAAGCGCCG
rnacentral:rRNA from 1 species